AAGAGGGAGGGGAAGCAUGGGGCUGAGCCAGGUUUGGGGGACGUUUCAGAGGUGGUGGUGGGAGAUGCUCCUUCGAUAGCCAGCGCAGUCAAGCAGAAAAAGGCACAGAUGGCUGAAAAGAAGAGGGCUGCAAAUGGAGACUACAAAUCUGAUUCAGAGAAAGGAGAUUCGGAUGAUGGAGAGAAAAGGGACCACGACAAGGCCAAAGAUGAAACCCCUCCAGAGACCUCAAUGGAAGAGAAGAGAGCCCCG